rnacentral:misc_RNA from 1 species
CACCAACAGUGGUGGUGAUAUUAAUGAUAUUGAUAAUGAUAGUUGUAGUGGUAUGUAACAGCCAUUGUGAAAAUGAUGGUGAUGGUUGAGAAAGAAGUAUCAUUUGUUUAAACAUUAAAUUGAGCUUUUUACUUAGCAUAGUGAUAUUUGAAAUUUAAGUGCUGAAAACAAAAAUAUCAUCCAAUGCAUUGAAAAAAAUUAAGUUCUUAAAAUUAAUUUUGUGAAAAAUUGGUGACAGGUUAAUUUUAAGUGAUUAAUCAAGUUAUGAGACAGUUCCCAAGUCUGUCUUGCUUUUGCUAUCUUCUUGCUUUUGCUAUCUUCUAAGGCAUGAAAAUUGCGUUAAUUAGAUUGUCAAGUACGCAUGCUUUUCCUUAAUGUUCUCCAGGAAUCAUUGGCACGCUCUCAUGG